CAGAUACCACUGUAAUGGGAGUGGUUCUAUUUUUAUCUUAAAAUGGAAAUGGGAUCUUAUAAUAUUGAUUACAUAUGGCAGGAAUCAAACAGGUGUAAUGGUAAUAAAUAAUGGACUGCGUUACAUUUGAGGCAACCAAACGGCUCGGAGAUGUCACUAUGAUCCUGCAAUAAACAGGCCACGCCUUUCUCUAGUUUAUUUAAUUAUUGAAUAUGUUUUGCAUCAGACAUAGAUGGAUGUAUUACACAGUGCCUACUCUAGGCAGCAACACACAAACGGAAGGAAGGUUGUCUGGCAGUAGGAACCUAAGCCAUAAUGGUGGUGUCUGCAAUAGAUCCAGCACGUCUCAUUGAAGAGACAAUGUUUGUCCGUGUGGCACUGUGGCAACGGCCUCUUCACCGGUGAUAAGUCUGCUAUUGGUGAUAGUAUCCCAGAACGCCUCGCACCUACACGUACAUGCAACGCCACGUAUCACUACCGGAAAUCAAGACUUUGCCAAGUGCUUGGAUACUCGACAAAGAAGCCCUCUACCGAGUGCCAAAUAAAAAACACUCAGCAAAAAAAAACACUCAGCAGAGCAUAAUAGUUGGUUAACUAAUUUAUAUAAUAUAGUAUUAAAAAACCUUAGAGCAGGUACAUAAUAGUUGCAUCUCACCUUGGCAGGGCAUGAUGAUUGAAUUCAUUGUAGCAAGAACUAAGAACAAAGCAGCUGCCAAGGACACGAUCCUCCAUGCGCCCUUGACAGCUGAUGACAUGAUGAGGAAAAGGGUGUAUAUACUAGUACAACCCUUUUCUUUACGGUGAAGAAGAGAGAGCGAACGUAGGUAAG
rnacentral:lncRNA from 1 species